UUUCUGUUCCUCCAUUGACAGUCCACGCAACUACCACUUUGAUGCUUCAAAAAAUUCAUAAAGUGAUCAUAAAACUAAUCCAUAUAAACUGAGUGAUUUAGUACAAAUUUUGUGAAGAGACCCGAUCACUUUAUUUGAUGAACAGACUGAAUUUAGGCUUUUAUUCACAUAUAAACAUUCAUCAACGCUUGACGUGUAAGAACCAAUGAGAUUCAUUCUCGUGUUAUGCAUCAUGUUUGAGCUUCAGCAAGAACAACGACAUGGUUAAAUGUCUUUGAAUAAUUCUAAGUUGAAUCAAUAAAGAUAUUUACAGAUAGAUGGAUUAAACCUGUCACUCAUAUCUUAAGUUGUAGGUCACAUGAUAAAUGAUGAUGUCUGGAUCACAUUCAUUCUUAACGUGAUCAGGCUAUAAAGUACGUACUCUUUUAGCGCUCGUCCAGUAAGUACUUGUUGAAAUGAAGUAGCUGCUCAGAGUCGAGGCUGUAAUGUGACUGGUUUAUGAGACACAGCUGAUCCACGCUGAGGUUCGAUCUCCUAAUAUAAGAAGAUCUUUAGGAAUCACAGCUGGAAAAUGGCCGUCGUUCAGGUGAGUCUCUGUUUGACUGUUUUUGUCUCAGAUUUACACAAGAAUAAAUUGAAAGCCUUAAGACUGUUUGUUUGCUCUGAGUAUCGGUCUGAAAGUGUGUUUGAGCUUCAUUGACGUUUACAUCUGGACGAUAACACUGACUCUUAUGGACCUGUGCUGAUGGAGCUCAUUAUUACAAUAGUUCAUUUGUGAAUUCAAUGAGCUGUUUGGGUUCAUUAAAUCAGACUGUUGUUCUUCACAAUAACUCCAAGUGUUGAACUUCAGUGUGAAACUCAUCCUGCUAUAAAACAUGAAUGAUACCUGGUGCAUGUUGAGGAAAGGUGUGCCAUUGAUUGUCUAAGUAACUGAACAUAAGACUUCUGAAAACUUUUCUUAGGUUAUCCAUAAAAAUCCAGGGUUCCUCAAAUCUUGCUCUGGUCAAACACUCCUGAGCUUCUCAAGGUCUUCAGAAUCAGUAGAAGAUCACAGGUGUGUGAGUUUGAUCAGGGUUUGAGCAGUGGUCCUUCAGGACCUGAUCUGAGGAACCCUGUUUGAGCACUUUUGAGAAGCCAAACUCUAGUCCUGAACUCAUGAAAACAGUCAUGGUGACAUUUAACCUUUUCUAUCAUCACAAAAACUGCAACCAGUUCGUAAUUCCACUCAUUUAAGUCAAAAGUGCUCAAGACAAAGCAGCAGUUCUCCAUUCAUUUCUAGUUGAAUCUGGUGAGGUGUUUGAUGUAUUUAUAGCUGGAAUGUUUGCAACUUCCUGAAUUGAUGUGGCAAUGCAGAAUUAAAUUAUUUCUUCAUUUUGCUGUGAGCUGAUUGUGUUUGCUUUAGCAGAGAUUGACGAGACGUACCUGGACAUUUUAAUAUGAGAAUUGAGAAACUCCAGUGGAGAGCGCUUAUUCCUGUGAAGGAGUUUCCUCGAAUUAACUUUGUGAUGAAGAUUCUGGGGCUGCAGAUUAGGAUCAUUGAGGAGGACACGGGGUGAAUUUCGGUCAGGGGGAGAGGAUCCAUAAAGGAUGAGAUCAUGAUCAUCUCCUCGCUGCCCGUCCUCCUUCACCACCUUUUUCCGUCACUGUUUUACAACUUAUAUGUGGACAUUAUUCUCAUUUUUACUAUUUAAGAAUGACUUUUUAUCUAUUGUAUUUUACUACUUGUUAUUCAUUUUAAGUAUUUAUGUAUUAUGUCCGUUUAAGAAAUUUUAGUGUUCCAGUUAGUUUUAGACUGUUUUUAUUAUUUAUUCUCUUCAACACUCUUGAUUCGCUGCUUGUAAAUAAACCUCAUCUUGGUUCUUGUUUCUCAUCUCUGGUGUGAUUCUUGUGUCCGUCGGCUCCGUUAUCACAUGAUCCCAAACUCUACAGUCUGUAGGACAGAAAGUGUUUGAUUGCAGAAUAAAGUUGAAGCUUUUCUUACAUUUUGUCCAUGUCCAUCAGUAUCACGUCUAUCUAGAUUUGUUCAGAUUUCUCAGUCUUGUGUGGGGUUUUUUUGUCAUUUAAUGCUUUGCUCAAAUGGAGUUGUUCAGAACUGGACUCUGUUUUCACAGACACUCCUGCUGGAAUCAAGAUCCAUAUUUCAUAUUGAUUCAUAUCAAUUUCAGCAUAUGAACAUAUCCAGCAUCAGUGUUUCUCUGUGAAUGUCAGUGUUCAGACUGCAGCGUUUGAGUCUCAGCAGCAGAUGUCAGUGUUUCUCGUUACUUUAACCAGUUUCAUUCCGUCACAUGUUUGUUGCUGCUGUGUGGUUUGAGUUUUUGCUUCUCGUUAUCUCGGGAUGCCCAUCCUGAGGUCACUAGAGUACAUCAGCUCCAGUUUGGAUCCAGCCUCUGAUGAAGACUUCAGAUGACCAACACCUGUGAAGAGAGACUUCAGACGACUCUAACUCUGGAUCAACAUGAACAGUGCUGUUCUCUAUAGAGCCUAAAUCAUUUAACAUGUAUUCAUUACUUAAAUGAGCUCAAUGUUUUCUGCCUUAAUUUAAUUAAUUGUUUAAAUUAAUAGAUUAUUAGCUGUGUGAUUUGUAUAUGUACAUUUCUGAAACCCAUAACUUUGACAGUCUCCUCUGAUCACAGAUCACUCUGGAUUGUAAUGUUCACACAAGCGUUCUCUGUAAAGCUGCUUUGAGACAAUAUAUGUAUUGUGAAAAGCAUUAUACAAAUAAAUGUGAAUUGA